rnacentral:lncRNA from 1 species
ACCUCUGAGUACAAUCAUCACCAUUGCUGCAAAAAAACCCAGAAAAUCUCAUAAUCCGCAACAUUUUUCUUCCUCUGUGUAAGAAUCUCCAAUUCUUGUCUUGGUUUUUUCUCCACAAUUUGAAAUCGAAACUGUUUGAGGAAAUCGAAGAGAAUAGGAAGGGUACUGUUCCCUUCAGCUCUGCCAGAGUGAAAGUCAAUUGCAAUUCACAAUACAAAAACCCCAAUCCCAAUGGCAAAAAUUGUGCUUUGCUUUUUGUAAUUUUUCCUCUCUCUAAUGGGAUGCCGUGACUUCGAAGCUAAUGAGUUCUAUCAGAGAGAGUGAUGAAGAAUCAAUCCAUAUACAUAACGAAAAAUGAAUAUGUAACUACGUGAGUUGCAGUCCUCACUCUCUCUCUCUUCUCUCACUAUACACA